CCCUUAGAUGUUCUGGGCCGCACGCGCGUUACACUGAUGCAUUCAACGAGCUUAUAACCUUGGCCGAGAGGCCUGGGCAAUCUUGUUAACGUGCAUCGUGAUAGGGAUAGAUUAUUGAAAUUAUUAAUCUUGAACGAGGAAUUCCUAGUAAACGCAGAUCAUCAAUCUGCAUUGAUUACGUCCCUGCCCUUUGUACACACCGCCCGCCGCACCUACCGAUUGGAUGGUCCGGUGAAGCCUCGGGAUUGUGGUUCUUGCCGCUUUAUUGUGGCGUGACCGCGAGAACUUGUCUAAACCUUAUCAUCUAGAGGAAGGUGAAGUCGUAACA
rnacentral:rRNA from 1 species